GAGAUGUAGACGGGGCACGUUAAGUAAAAAUUAAAAUUCUAUACUUGAUUUAUCAACUAAGCUUUAGCGUUAAUUAUAACAAUGUGCAGGCAUAUUGUGCAUUCGUUAUUUAUCGCUAUUUGAAUGGUGGCGCCGUAUUGCACAAUUUUUAAACAAAUUGUCACAUAUUCGCAUAAAAAUUGUAACCAGACGUUCAGUUGCCGCCGUAGUAUAUUUCAGUAUAUUUAACAGCGCUAAAUUGUAUAUUUAAAAAAUCAAGCUGCGGUCACGCUAAUUACGUGCCUUGUCAAAGUUUUGUAACCUGGAAAAAAAGGGGCAGACGUUCAAAUAAUUCGACCGACCGACCGGCUCAAUAAUUCCAUCAUUUACACAGUUUGCUUUUUAUAUAGUUUACCAUCAAGGGCAGCAUUAGCACACAUCAACAAUGGCCGGCUUCUCAGACUAUUCGAGAAAUGAGGAAACAGAGGUUAAUGGCUGGAUUCGGUUUGGAUUGCGUCUUGGUGUUAGUGCUGCACUGCAUCCUUUUGAGUACUCAAAGACUUUGAUACAGAUUGGUUACGAACCCAUCUCUGCAAGACCUGGCAAGUCGCUGCUUGGCAAACCUGUUAUGCUCUUGCCCAAUAUUUUUCAGUACGCUGGUCACAUUCGCAAAAUCGAUGGAUUCUAUGGUUGCUAUCGUGGCUUGGCACCCAAACUCGCUGGCUCUGUGCUUAGCCUGGUAGUUAGUGAACGCGUUGCUGAGAAACUGGGGCUCGCCUAUCAGGAUGACAAGGACGAAUCCGAGUUGACAGAAGAGGAGAGCUAUGUACAGUUCAAGUACAAUCUGAAGCGCGACAUUGUGUUGACCGUCAGUGGCAUUGUUGUCGCACAUCCGUUCCAUGUGAUUUCCCUACGCAUGAUGGCUCAGUUUAUCGGUCGCGAAACGCUGUACAACUCCAUACUGGGCUCAGUGGCCGAAAUCUGGAAUAACGAAGGCGUGCUUGGCUUCUUUGCCGGUCUAAUCCCCAAGCUGCUGUGCGAUGUCGCCGGUCUGGUGCUGUCUAGCUCCACGGUGUUCGUGAUCAACAAAUAUCUGAUCAAGGACAAGGUGGCCAGGCAAUACAAUGCGGGCUUUACGCAAUUCGCCUUCUCCAGCCUGCUGUAUCCACUGCAAGUGGUCUCGACAUGCUCGGCUGUGAGUGGCUCACGUCUGAUGGCCGGACAACCACCGAUUAUGCCCAAGUAUGCCAAUUGGGUUGACUGCUGGAAUGAUUUGCAGACGCGCAGGGAACUCAAGCGUGGCAGUUCGCUCUUCUGGCGUUCGCAAGCAGCUUACUCAUCAGCAGUACCCACAUCCUUUGCACCGUUGCCAGUGCUGUCCCGUUAUCAGUAGAUGGAUUAUGAUUAAGUGAUGACGCUGAUGCGACCACAAAAUAUGAAUCGUCGGAAUUAUAUCCACCACCGAUAAAAAAAAGAACUUCGGCGUCUGCCUGCAUUUUGAACACACACACACAUAUAUUUUUGCUCGAAGAGCGCCAUCCUAAGACAUCUCUGCAUUUGUUUUCUCUGGUCGCGAUUUAGCAUGCGUAUAGAACAAUUUUUAUGCAAGUGUAAAUCCAAAUGUUAAAAUGGUCCCCCAUAAUUUAUGAACAACAAUCGAACGAAAUAAUUACAUCACUGCACUAUAGAUUUGCAAAUUUAAAUUUAUAUAGACUAUGUCUUGUUUCUUGUUGAACAAAUUUGCUAAACUAGCUAAGCAAUCUGAGGCAAUCGGUGUACGUAAUGAGAAAGAAGCCUUUUAUUAAUUGAAAUUAUUGUCAGUACAUAUGCGUAUUGUAAAAGAAGAUUAUUUAGAUUGUAGCUGAAUAAAAAAUGUGCUUUCUUUA